rnacentral:piRNA from 1 species
UCAGAUGAGGUAAGGUUACAUAGGUA